rnacentral:rRNA from 1 species
AAUAAGGACCGGCUAACUCCGUGCCAGCACCCGCGGUAAUACGGAAGGUCCGGGCGUUAUCCGGAAUCAUUGGGUUUAAAGGGUCCGCAGGCGGACCCUUAAGUCAAAGGUGAAAUCCCAUAGCUUAACUAUGGAACUGCCUUUGAUACUGGUUGACUUGAGUCAUAUGGAAGUAGAUAAAAUGUGUAGUGUAGCGGUGAAAUGCAUAGAUAUUACACAGAAUACCGAUUGCGAAGGCAGUCUACUACGUAUGUACUGACGCUGAUGGACGAAAGCGUGGGGAGCGAACAGGAUUAGAUACCCUGGUAGUCCACGCCGUAAACAAUGGAUACUAGUUGUUGGGAUUUACCUCAAUGACUAACCGAAAGUGAUAAGUAUCCCCCC